CUGCCUUAUCAGCUCUCGAUUGUAGGUUAAACGCCUACAAUGGCUAUCACGGGUAACGGGGAAUCAGGGUUCGAUUCCGGAGAGGGAGCCUGAGAAACGGCUACCACAUCUAAGGAAGGCAGCAGGCGCGCAAAUUACCCACUCCCGGCACGGGGAGGUAGUGACGAAAAAUACUGUUGCGAGCCCCGAACGGGGCCUCGCAAUUGGAAUGAGUACACUUUAAAUCCUUGUACGAGGAUCGAGUGGAGGGCAAGUCUGGUGCCAGCCGCCGCGGUAAUUCCAGCUCCACUAGCGUAUAUUAAAGUUGUUGCGGUUGAAACGCUCGUAGUUUGACUUCUGCUCCGGACCGGCGGUCCGCCUUAGCGGCGGCUACUGCCGGGUUCCGAGCUGUGUCCCCGCCGGCGCACAUGGGGUUUUUAUGCCCUUAACCGGGUGUCCCCUUGUGGCCGGCACGUUUACUUUGAAAAAAUUAGAGUGCUCAGAGCAGGCUGGUUUUUGCUUACAGCCCGAAUGGUCGUGCAUGGAAUGAUGGAACAGGACCUCGGUUCUAUUUUGUCGGUUUUUCGGAACCCGAGGUAAUGAUUAAUAGAAGCAGACGGGGGCAUUCGUACUGCGACGCUAGAGGUGAAAUUCUUAGACCGUCGCAUGACGACCUACUGCGAAAGCAUCUGCCAAGGAUGUUUUCAUUGAUCAAGAACGAAAGUUAGAGGUUCGAAGGCGAUCAGAUACCGCCCUAGUUCUAACCUUAAACGAUGCUGACUAGCGAUCCGCCGCAGUUAUUCCCAUGACCCGGCGGGUAGCUUCCGGGAAACCAAAGUCUUUGAGUUCCGGGGGAAGUAUGGUUGCAAAGCUGAAACUUAAAGGAAUUGACGGAAGGGCACCACCAGGAGUGGAGCCUGCGGCUCAAUUUGACUCAACACGGGGAAACUCACCAGGCCAGGACACCGGAAGGAUUGACAGAAUGAAGGCUCUUUCUCGAUUCGGUGGGUGGUGGUGCAUGGCCGUUCUUAGUUGGUGGAGUGAUCUGUCUGGUUAAUUCCGAUAACGAACGAGACUCUAGCCUGCUAAAUAGUCGACGGAUCUCAACCCCGUUGCCCCCGUUGUCGUUCGCGGCGAUGCGGGGCGCGGGUUCCCCGAAACCCGGUCGUCGUGCGGGCCUCCACCGUCGGUCGGUUAGCGCCGCCGGCGGCGCGCCCCGCGGCGCCGGAAACUGGCGUCCGCUUCGCAGUCUUCUUCUUAGAGGGAUAAGCGGCAGCAAAAAAUAUACUAGCCGCACGAGAGUUUGAGCCAUAACAGGUCUGUGAUGCCCUUAGAUGUUCUGGGCCGCACGCGCGCUACAAUGGAGAGUUCAGCGAGCUGKCCC
rnacentral:rRNA from 1 species